rnacentral:lncRNA from 1 species
AGAGACGGGGUUUUGCCAUGUUGGCCAGGCCGGUCUCGAACUCCUGACCUCAAGUGAUCCGCCCACGUUAGCCUCCCAAAGUGCUGGGAUUACAGGCCUGAGGCACUGUGCCCAGCCAAAAAAAUUUUCUUACAUUCCCUUUUAUAUGACUGGUGGGAGAAGAGAGAUGUUAGAGAAAACAGGGAAGUCGGCAGAGCCAGAGGAAUGCCCAAAUGUUAUCCUAUUAAGGCUGACAAAUCUUCAGACAUGGUAUGAUUACUCUCCCAGCCCAGUUUUAUCAUCUGAACCCACCCAGACUUAUUCACUAAAACAUAGCCACUUGGUGGUAGGUCAUGCCUGUAAUCCCAGCACUUUGGUCAUGCCUGUAAUCCCAGCACUUUGGGAGGCCGAGGCGGGAGGAUUACUUGAGGCCAGGAGUUUGAAACCAGCCUUGUCAACAUAGUUAAACUCCAUCUUUACAAAAGAAAAAUAAAUAAAUAAAUAACCAGGCAUGGUAGCCCAUGCCUGUAGUCCCAGCUACUCAGGAGGCUCAGACAGGAGGAUGACUUUAGCCCAGGAGUUUGAGACUACAGUGAGCCAUGAUUGCACCUCUGUACUCCAGCCUGGGUGACAGAGAAAGAGCAUGUCUCGAAAAAAAAAAAAAAAGUAUGUACAUAUGUAUAUACAUAAAACAGUUCAAUUUACAUUACUUCUGAUUCACUUCUACCCAUAAUGGGCAUACAAUGAAGAAUGGACAUAGCCUAUAGGUCAUGAAAGGGUUUAUGCAGACAAACCCUAAAUCAGGAGGAGUGCUGUCUAGACCAUCUCAAUGGUAAGGUCCUAUCCUCCCAGUAUAAUAGAGUUGACCUGUGGGCUAACAAAAUAUACAUUUGUGUGAGCCAAGCGUUAAGUCUUAAGAUACGAGGAAGCACCUAUGACCCUAAAUGGUUGCCUUCCGAUGGUAUUAUCUGAGGUUCACAGCUUGGGAAACCUCAGAAGGAAGCAAUCAUACUGGAAGCAAUCACAGAUCUGCCAGUGUUAAUCUUUGCUGUUUUUUCUCUUCAGAGAAGAUGCUGAAGCUCCAAAAGCCCGUCUUGUGAAACCCAGCUCCUCUUCCUCAGGCUCUCGGAGCUCACGUUCUGGUUCUUCCUCCACUCGCUCC